AGUUUGUGAUGAGUCAUAUGGACUGCUCUAUAGAAAUGGGAUCUUUUACCCAGUACGCUUGAUAGUACAUCCUUGUGCCCAUCAGAAUGGAAUCUCAUGGCUUGCUUUCUGUGUUGCUUGGGACAUAGUAAGAAGAAAUAGCAAGUCCCUUACAAGGAUUAGUAGGGGUCUUUCUUCCUUCUCUCUAUAUUUAUUAGUUAAGUCUGGACAGAAACUAACAAAAUUCUUACAAGGCUGAAAGAAAAGCAAGUAAAGGUUCAAGACACAAGAAACAAUUUGGAAUACUACUAGUUUAUCAAGUCAAAAAAUUCCUAUGGUGCCUUCCCAAAACUUCAGCUGUAUGGACUAACAAUAGUCAACUUGUGGUUAUUCAUUUCCAAAUCAAGCCUUUUAAAUUGUAGAAGUUUUUUUUUGUUGUUGUUGAUGAUUAAAUACAAAGAGGAAAAUAAAUCGGACUUCUUCAGAACACUUACCAAAUACUCAUGCAGAUUGUUGAAGCCAUGCCUUCCAGACCUCUGGGUUAGGUUCCAGUCUACCACAAUAACUGUCACAACAAAGCGUGGUACAUAAAUGCUUUGUUUUUCUCUGUUUUAUAGGUUAUAUUUACACUAAAUUAGAAUAUUUGUUGUGCAAUAGCCCGUCAAGAAAGCAGUGUGCAUCCCUUAGUUGAGAAUUGAGCUAGUGAUAGGUUCGUCGGUAAAGGCACAAGCCUGCUGGCCUGGGGUUGGUUGGUCCCUGGAACUCAGAUGGUGGAAGGAGAGCCAGCUUCCACCGACUACUACAUGCAUGACAUGGCACACGUGAAUCCUCCAUUUCCACACACAAAUAAAUGUAAUCUUUUAAAAUUAAAAUGUAGGGGGGAUCUGGCAAAAUGGGUCAGGAGGGGAAAGUCCGUGCUAAGCAAGAUUGAUCCGUUCAAUCCCUUGGACCCCACGGUGGAGAGAACACUGAUCCUGAAGGUUGUCCUCUGACUUCCACACAUGCAUGUGUGCGCUCAAGUGCACACACACACUUUGGUUUAAAAAGGGUUUUUUGUUUUUGUUUUUUGAGGCAAAAGAGCAAUGCUGGAGGACUUGAGAGACAGCUCAGUGGUUAAGAGCACCAGCUGCUUUUCCAGAAGACCCAGGUUCCCUUCUCAACACCCACAUGACAACUCACAACCCAAUGCCAUGGGUCCUGAUACUCUCUCCAGGCCCUUGGCAACACGUACGUAUGUGGUAUAUGGUGCCACAGACAGGCAAAAAGUCUU
rnacentral:lncRNA from 1 species